rnacentral:rRNA from 1 species
GACGAACGCUGGCGGCGUGCUUAACACAUGCAAGUCGAACGGAAAGGCCCUGCUUUUGUGGGGUGCUCGAGUGGCGAACGGGUGAGUAACACGUGAGUAACCUGCCCUUGACUUUGGGAUAACUUCAGGAAACUGGGGCUAAUACCGGAUAGGAGCUCCUGCUGCAUGGCGGGGGUUGGAAAGUUUCGGCGGUUGGGGAUGGACUCGCGGCUUAUCAGCUUGUUGGUGGGGUAGUGGCUUACCAAGGCUUUGACGGGUAGCCGGCCUGAGAGGGUGACCGGCCACAUUGGGACUGAGAUACGGCCCGGACUCCUACGGGAGGCAGCAGUGAGGAAUAUUGCACAAUGGGCGGAAGCCUGAUGCAGCAACGCCGCGUGCGGGAUGACGGCCUUCGGGUUGUAAGCCGCUUUCGCCUGUGACGGAGCGUGAGUGACGGUAAUGGGUAAAGAAGCACCGGCUAACUACGUG